AACGGGGGGGGCCAGCGUUAUUCGGAUUACUAGGUGUAAAGGGUGAGCCAGGCUUCUCGUUUGAAUAUCUAUAAAAGGUUAGAAAAAUAUUUAACAAAUAGUUAUUACAUUAAGGAUUGAGUUUUGAUCACGAUUUUAGAAUUUUUGGUGUAGGGGUUAAAUCCAACGAUAUCGAAAGAAUGCUUAGUGUGGAGACCAAUUUUCUGGAUUAAAACUGAC
rnacentral:rRNA from 1 species